GCCAAAAAUGGAAAAUGGAUGAAAACACGGGAAAGAGGCCCAAAUUAAAAACAACUAUCUCUUUCUCUUUACUCUUGGUUUGCUUAGAUUGAAGAAUCAGAAAAGCUCCAUCUGAAUCUCAUAUCCUCUUCGGCUCUUCCUCGAGUUCCAACUUAAUACAAUCUUCAAAUCUAGUUAUGUCUUUCUUGCUUUCCAGGUGGUAUUCCAAGCAUGUUUUCUUGUUUUACCCCUCCUUUUUCCUUCAAUUUACAGGUCUGUUACCCUUCCCCCAAUUCUUUGUUUGAUCGGCGCUAAUCAGUAAGCAGGGCCGGUCCUGGGCUGAGGCGAGUGAGGCCCGCGCCUCAGGC
rnacentral:lncRNA from 1 species